rnacentral:antisense_RNA from 1 species
GAUACCCAUAGAUGACAAAGGGAUCGAGAGUAGGACUUGUUACUACGCGGACAUCAUGAAUUGCGGAGUCAUAUAGUCCUCCGAAAAACAUCGCUUUUGCCACCAGUAAUAAAGCACCUAAUCCUAGAAAAAUCAAGUGAUGUCCUAAGAUUAAACCAAGUUGUUUCGGGUCGUUCCA